rnacentral:rRNA from 1 species
UACGAAGGGAGCUAGCGUUGUUCGGAAUUACUGGGCGUAAAGGGCUCGUAGGUGGCCAACUAAGUCAGACGUGAAAUCCCUCGGCUUAACCGGGGAACUGCGUCUGAUACUGGAUGGCUUGAGUUCGGGAGAGGGAUGCGGAAUUCCAGGUGUAGCGGUGAAAUGCGUAGAUAUCGUAAGGAAGACCAGUGGCGAAGGCGGGUCUCUGGACAGUUCCUGACGCUGAGGCACGAAGGUCAGGGGAGCAAACGGG